UUUAAAGAGAGUUUGAUCCUGGCUCAGGACGAACGCUGGCGGCGUGCCUAAUACAUGCAAGUCGAACGAACGGAGGAAGAGCUUGCUCUUCCAAAGUUAGUGGCGGACGGGUGAGUAACACGUGGGCAACCUGCCUGUAAGUUGGGGAUAACUCCGGGAAACCGGGGCUAAUACCGAAUGAUAAAGUGUGG
rnacentral:rRNA from 1 species